rnacentral:lncRNA from 1 species
CUCAUUUUUCACGGGUGCCGCGUGACUUUCCAGACUGUAUUUUCAGCCUCGGUUUGACGUCAGGCUCUCACGGUCCCAAAGGAUGGGCUUUGUACAUUUCCAGGCCGCAGACCGGAGCCUCCCAUCCCUUUGGGCCUCUUGGGCGGUCCCUACGGCCACCUCCCGCAGCUCCCUGGGGGCGGGGGACCGCUGGAUGAGGGAGGAGGGGAGGUACUGGGGGGAAAGGGCGGUUGGCGGGAAGGAAGUCCAGGUGAGACAGGCCCGCGUUGGGACUAUCGUGCGCGCCCCCUCAUCUUCUGCUCCAGCCACUUCCAGCUGCCUUCCUGGAAUCCCAGAGACUGAAUCAGAGCAUUUUGGAGCUAGGCAGACCACCUGCCACAUUUUCAGCUGAGGCAGUUGGGGCCCAGAGAGGUUAAGGGCCUGCCCAAUGCCACACAGCCAGUGGGUAAGGCCUACAGUGCUCUUACCAGGACCUCAAACCUUCAUUCUGAAACACCAAAAGCUGCCAUCAGACCAGAGAAGGACCCUCUUGAAAUAAACAUAUUAGCUUUGAAAUCCCUGGCCUCAGGAGGACCAGCCAUGUGCUUCUCAUUUGCAGAGUAGAGGGGAGGCUGGAUCUGCUGGCCUGGAGCAGUUCCUAGGGACUGGCCUGGCAGGCUGGAAUGCCCAAGAGGUUUUGAGGGGGCAGGAGAGAUGACCUGGAAAUGUUUAGGAUACCUAGUUUAUAGAAGAGUGCUUCUGGGACUUAGAGGCUGGAAAAGCAAGGCCCUAUUUGCAGACCUGUACUUGGGGGUUCAGCCUCGAAUGGAAACUUAUUUCCUUGACUCCAGGCAGCUGAGAGUGAGGACACAUUAGGCUGGGGAUUCUGAAAUGGGCAGAAUAAUCCUCGGGGGCAAACACUGAGUGGAAGUCAUCUUGAUGGGAGGGGAUGCCUUUCCCACGGGGCACCUGGGCAGGUCUCACCAUUCUGCAGUCACCCCCAGCAUAAAAUAUGAAGUGGAACAGCUUCCCUGCCAGAUCCCUGGGAGGCUCUGGCUCCGUUACAGCGACUCGAUGAAAAUAUCUCUGCUCAGUGCUGAGAACUUGGUCUUAGUAAUUGACUUGUAUAAUGUCCAAAGACUAUGCAUGUAACUGGCCCAAAGUGAUGCAUCAUCUUUCGCAAAAAGAUUCAUCAUGGAAUCUGCAGCAGCCUCCCAUUUGUCUGGAGCAGAAAUAGGAACAACUCCCCUUGCCAGGAGUCAUCCUUUGUCUUCAAAGCAAAUUCCUCCAUGGUUGGAAGCUUCCUGGGCCCAGGCUGAGGCCUAUGGCCAACUUCCUGGCCAAGGUCCCAGAGUCCCAGCAUGUCUAUCUCAGGAACCUCAGCCACAGGCAGCAGCUCACAGAACGUGGAGCACUGGGUUUAGGAGUCCUGAGUUCUAGGACUGACUCUGCCAUCAGCUGGCUUGUGACCUUGGACAAGUCACUGAAUACCCCCGGGCUUUUCCUUCUCCAUCUGUAAGAUGGAAUUUGUGAUUUCUGCUUGAACUAUCUCACAGGAGAAAUGGAUGAGGAAUUACCCAUCACCCACUGUGUAGAGGGGCCCCAUAGUAUCAUGGUUUAGAGCAUGGGCUUUGGGAUCCGAAGGAUCUAGGGUCAAAUCCCAGCUCUGUUGUUUGGUGAUGUCACAUUGGACGAGUUUCUUAACCUGUUGAGAAAGUGGGGACACUAACAGUAUCUACUCUGUAACGUUGUAAGGAAUAAAAUGAACGGAUGCACAAGGAGCGCUUAGAUUAUGCACUCGGGUAUUAGCUGGAGCUUUCAUUGUGUACCCAGCUGCCUGGGAGCAAACAGGAAGCAUGAGUGCAAAUGUUUGUUGUUAUAAAACAGCUCCAUCACUACAUGUCAUAUCAUUUAAACGAACCCUUCAGUAACUCAAGAUGACGAAACUGAGAUUGGAGAAGGUAACGACUCACACAAGGUCACCCACCCAGUCAGUGGCAAAGGCAAGCUUUCAACCCAUUUCGAACUGAGUCCAGGGCUUGUGUUUUUCCUGACACACACUGGCUUAUAAUGUAGUUGGAGUAGUUGGAGAGAGUCAAGAUGUUCAAGUGAGUAACAGUAAGGAUGCAGAGCAGCGAUGUGCAGCAUGUGUAAGCAUGGGACUGUAGGGGCUUGGGCUUAUUUUCCACUUUUGCCACCUUUUAGCUGUGUGAUCAUGGACAAGUCACUUACCCUCUCCAAGUCUCAUAUAUGUCAGAUUCUUGGUACAGUAAAUGGUGUUCCAUGAGAUACUUCUCACUGUUGCUGUUAAAGGCAGGGUGUGCUGUGUGCUGAAGGAUGGUGCUGUGGCCACGCAUAAGUGCUGGAAGAGUUGGCCUGUGGAACAUCACUCUGGGUUGGAGGUGAUCAGGCAAGAUAGGUAGGAAUGACAUUUAAAUGGGACUUUGAAGGACAGAGAGGCUUUGGAUGAGUGGAGCCAAGUGGGAGGACCUCCUGGGCAGAAGGGAUGAUGCACAGAAAGGAGCUAGGUAUGAAGUCUCAGGAAAAUUCGAGGUGAGGUGGAAGCUGGAAACCCACGAGGAAAUGCUCCCAUUCAUCCGCCUACUGUAAUAGAAGCUACUACCUUCAAAAUCACUUUCUAUGUGCCACUUUGUAAUCAUCGCGUCUACUGUUCACAGCCAUUCAUCAGGGCAGGUGACAUUAUCCCCUUUUGCAAGAUAAGCAGCUGAGGCUCAGAUAGACUAAAGAAGGUCCCCAAGGCCACGAAAGUAAGUGACACAGCCAGGACUCAGAUUCAGGUCUGUCUCCAAGGUGUGCCCUGUCUGCACUGGCAUACUAAAUACCAACCCCUCCCGGGCCCACCAAGAUGACUUUGUGCUUCCAUUCAAUGCCCCUUGUUAUAAGCCAGGGGAGGGGUUUAUAGAAUUAGGUUGGGCAUUGUCUCAGGACUCCAGCAGCUUGCAGUUCUGGUAAACACACACAGCAUGGGUGCUCAGCUGGUUGAGAAGCACAGAGGAAGUGUGGCAUUCACACGGGCUGGCACAGCCUCCCUUAUCAGACUACGUGCUGUCACCCUUCCAGGUGGGAGGAGGCUGUGAUGAUCCACCAGGAUGGCAUAAGUGAAGAAGGAGAGAGGAAGAGCCUCAGGCUGGGACACUCUGGCUGCUACCAGGCUCCAGCAUGGGGAAUUUUAACCUCCGUGAAGCCUGCUGGACUGCUGUCUCAAGACCAGGUGGUGAUAAAGCUCACAACGGCUGCUGACGGUCUUCCGGCCCCGUGAUGAUGUCUGCUUUGUUCUUGGUCUCUUUCAGGAAUAUUUCAAUCCGUGUUUUGCUACCCCACCCCCAAUCCAGGACACUGCAACCUGUCAUGAAUGAAGAGUGGCUGGUCACAUGGCCCGGUCACCAUGGCGACGGAUCCCCGCAGACGAGAUGAGGACGAGGACGCUCAGAGUCCGUGUGAGAACCUGGGUCAUCCAAUCCUAAAGUCCAUGCUCUUCCCAAGGUGCCCGGCCAUGGAGUGUGGCAGACAGUGUGCUCAAAAGGAGGAGGCAGGAGGGAAGGCUGGUGCUGAGGACAGAGCCGAAGAAAGGGCAGUCUAGAGGAGCAGGGAGAAAUGCAUUUUGUUAUUUUAAUGAACAGGUAACACAUGCACACAGUCAAGAAAAAGAAAUCAAACAAAAUUAAAAUAAGUCCAAUACUAAGUUUCCCUUCUCAGCGUCGUCUAGUGUCCGGUCCGCCUCUGCAGAGGAAGUCACUGUGGCUGGUUUCAGAUAUUCUCCUUCUAGAGAUCUCAUGUGCAUAUAGGAGCAGACAUGGAUGUACUGAAUAUAUAUGGUACAGACAUAUGGCAUGAAAUUCAAAAGGCGGAUGAUGAAAAGUAAAUCUUUCUCCCAUGCCUGCCCCCACUCGUGUAGUUCUUCACCCUAGAGGCAAGCGCUAUUAUGUUUCUUACGUACCAUUCCAGAAGUAUUCAAUGCCUCUAUAAGUACAUGUUUCAUAUACAAAUGGCCAUACCCGCUCUACACUAUUCUGCCUUUUUUUUUUUCACGUAACAAUGUGUCUUGGAGAUGUUUCCAGAUCAGAACCUAUAGGGCAGACCUGUUCACUUUAAUGGUUGCAAAGAAUUUCAUUGCUGGAGGUACCAUAAAUUAUUUAAAUGGUUUCUUGUUGAUAGACAUCUAAUUGUUUCCUUUUUUUUUUAUUACAAACACUGCUACAAGGGGUAUCUUUAAACGAAUCUCUUUAAACAAACACAUGUGCAAAAUGAGUAUGUGACUUCAUAAUCUUGAUAGAUAUGGCCAAAUUGUCAAUGGGUAUGUGCCUUUAUAAUUUUAAUAAAUAUGGCCUAAUUAUCUUCCACAGAGAUUGUAUAAUUUAACUCUUCUCUCAUUAGGAACAUGUGUGUUAUUAACUUUUUGUCAUUUGUUUUAGUUAUUUGCCAAUAUAAUAGGUAAAAUGGAAUCUCAUUAUUUUUCAAUUUGCGUUUCUCUGAUUAUGAAUGAAAUUAAACAUCUUUUUACAUGUG